UCUCGUCAUGGCGGACAUCUUCGACGACUACUCGAUGUCCGGGGCCAUGUUCGAAGCGUGGGACGAGAU
rnacentral:tRNA from 1 species